rnacentral:rRNA from 1 species
UGCCUACGGGACGCAGCAGUGGGGAAUAUUGCGCAAUGGACGAAAGUCUGACGCAGCGACGCCGCGUGAGUGAAGAAGUAUUUCGGUACGUAAAGCUCUAUCAGCAGGGAAGAAAUAAAGUCCUUUGGACUUUGGACGGUACCUGACUAAGAAGCCCCGGCUAACUACGUGCCAGCAGCCGCGGUAAUACGUAGGGGGCAAGCGUUAUCCGGAUUUACUGGGUGUAAAGGGAGCGUAGACGGCAGCGCCAGUCUGGAGUGAAAUCCCAUGGCUUAACCAUGGAA